GACGAACGCUGGCGGCGUGCUUAACACAUGCAAGUCGAACGGAAAGGCCCUGCUUUUGUGGGGUGCUCGAGUGGCGAACGGGUGAGUAACACGUGAGUAACCUGCCCUUGACUUUGGGAUAACUUCAGGAAACUGGGGCUAAUACCGGAUAGGAGCUCCUGCUGCAUGGUGGGGGUUGGAAAGUUUCGGCGGUUGGGGAUGGACUCGCGGCUUAUCAGCUUGUUGGUGGGGUAGUGGCUUACCAAGGCUUUGACGGGUAGCCGGCCUGAGAGGGUGACCGGCCACAUUGGGACUGAGAUACGGCCCAGACUCCUACGGGAGGCAGCAGUGGGGAAUAAUGCACAAUGGGCGGAAGCCUGAUGCAGCAACGCCGCGUGCGGGAUGACGGCCUUCGGGUUGUAAACCGCUUUCGCCUGUGACGAAGCGUGAGUGACGGUAAUGGGUAAAGAAGCACCGGCUAACUACGU
rnacentral:rRNA from 1 species